CGUAGGGUGCGAGCGUUAAUCGGAAUUACUGGGCGUAAAGCGUGCGCAGGCGGUUUAGUAAGACAGGCGUGAAAUCCCCGGGCUCAACCUGGGAACUGCGCUUGUGACUGCUAAGCUAGAGUACGGCAGAGGGGGGUGGAAUUCCACGUGUAGCAGUGAAAUGCGUAGAGAUGUGAGGAACACCAAUGGCGAAGGCAGCCCCCUGGGUCGAUACUGACGCUCAUGCACGAAAGCGUGGGUAGCAAACAGGAUUAGAUACCCUGGUAGUCCACGCCCUAAACGAUGUCAACUAGGUGUUGGGAGGGUAAAACCUUUUAGUACCGGAGCUAACGCGUGAAGUUGACCGCCUGGGGAUACGGCCGCAAAGGUUA
rnacentral:rRNA from 1 species